UACAGAGGGGGCAAGCGUUGUUCGGAAUUACUGGGCGUAAAGGGCUCGUAGGUGGCCAACUAAGUCAUACGUGAAAUCCCUCAGCUUAACUGGGGAACUGCGUCUGAUACUGGAUGGCUUGAGUUUGGGAGAGGGAUGCGGAAUUCCAGGUGUAGCGGUGAAAUGCGUAGAUAUCUGGAGGAACACCGGUGGCGAAGGCGGCAUCCUGGACCAAUACUGACACUGAGGAGCGAAAGCCAGGGGAGCAAACGGG
rnacentral:rRNA from 1 species